CAUGCAAUAAGAAUCACCACCCUUGCCGGGCUGUGGUGGCGCAUGCCUUUAAUCCCAGCACUCAGGAGGCAGAGGCAGGCGGAUCUCUGUGAGUUCAAGGCCAGCCUGGUCUACAGAGUGAGAUCCAGGACAGCCAGGACUGUUUCACAGAGUAACCCUGUCUCAAAAAGAAAAGAAAAAAAAAAAAAAGAAUCACCCCUUUACUUAAAAGUCUAUGAGUUCCGACAAACACAAAUAGUCAUGUGAUCACUGCCACAACCAGGAACAUUUCCACCACCCCAAAGCAGCCCCCGUGCCCUUUGGUUAUCACAUCUUUCCUGCUCUAGCCCCUCGUGAGUGCUGUAUUGAUUUCAGUCCUCGAGGGGACACACUCGGGGAAAUGGGGGGAGAAUAAGGUGGGUGGAUCAUAAGUUGAUCCCUAAGACCUAGAUGAGAAAGCUGGGUGUUGGGAGCCUCCCUCCUGGACUGCUCUCCCAGAGGACCUCCUAGCACCCAUAUCUGGUGGCUCACAACCGUCUACAACUCCAGCUCCAGGGGUAUUGUCGUAGGGUUUCUCUUGCUGUGAAGAGACACCAUGACUGUGACAACUCCUAUAAAAGAAAACAUUUAUUUGGGGCUGGCUUACAGUUCAGAGGUUUAGUCCAUUAUCAUCAUGUCGGGAAGUAUGGCAGGCAGACAUUGGUGCUGGAGAGGUAGCUGAGAGUUCCACAUGUAGAUCUGCAGGCAGCAGGAAGAGAGAGUGACACUGGGCCUGGCUUGAACAUCUAAAGCCUCAGAGCCCACCCCCAGUGACACACUUCCUCCAGCAAGGCCACACCUACUCCAACAAGAACACACCUGCUAAUAGUGCCAGUCCCUGUGGCGGGGUGUGAGGGUGGUGAUGUCAUUUCCCUUCAUGGUAUCAAUGCCUCUGGCCUCCCACAGAUACCUGCACUCAUGUGCACACAUACACACACAUUAAAAAAUCAAUCUCUUCUUGAAAUCUUGGUGAAAUGCUUGUCAUCAAGUGCUGAGCAGGCAGAUUCAGGGAUAUUUGUUGGGCUUAUAGACUGGCCAGCCCAGCUUACUUAGUGAAUUCUAGGCCCGUGAGUGACCCUGUCUCAAAAACAAACAAAAAAACCAGUGCCUGAGGAACACCACCCAGGGUUGUACUCUGACUUCCACAACGCUCACCCACACUUGUGCAUGCCCUCCGCCACAUACAAACAUACACACUCAUGCCGGGCAGCAGACCAUGAAAGAAGGCUUCUCAGGGAAAUGCAGAUGCCUCACAAGGCAGGUUCAGCUGCACUGCACCUUCAAAGAUGGGUGGAAUCGGCAAGUAAAAUAACUUUCCAGGACAGGCGUGGAGCUGCUCGAGUGCCUGUCAUCUCAGCAAAGCUGGGGCAUGAGGGUCAUGAGUUCAAGGCUAUCCUACACUACUCAGCAGCCUCGUUUGAACCACAAAAAUCUAACCCUUAAAAUCACCUGUUACUCGAAUGUGUGAUUUAAUGACUUUCUCUUGAAUUCUCUUCUCCUUGGUGGGGCUCACACCCUCUCUCUGCAGCCCUGGUUUGGCACUUCUCAGCUGAUGUCGUUUCCAAAGCAUUUUCUGAAGUUCUUGGUAACGUCGGUUUUUAAAGGAUUUUUAUUGUUAUGUGUACAGGUGAGUAUAAGUGCCCCAGAUGGCCAGAGGCGUCAGAUUUCCCCAGAGCUAGAGUUACAGGUGAUUGUGAGCCACCCAGUGUGGGUGUGGGAAUCGAACUCGGGUCCUCUGCCAAGAGCAGUACAUGCUCUUAAGCACUGAGUUAUCCCCUCACCGCCCCCGCCCCCAGACCCUGCAAAAAUCAAAUUUUAACACGGUAGAAUACUUUCCAGUGUCCAUGACUAGUCAGCCAGUCCUGUGUGUCAGGGCCUUUGGUUGUGUGGCCCUGCAUUAAGUACUUGCCCCUCUCCUGGUUCUAAUGAGUGUCUGAAGAUGCCCAGGACUGGAAUGAACUGACCCAAAGAUAAAAACGUUCAGACAUUCUCGAUGCAAAUUGCCCAAAUGCUUUUUAUAGGAAGUUUCAUGAGUUUAAACUCCCUCCACAUGGUUCAUAUGUUGUAACACGAGUUUACGUGCCUCCUCCCCACCUUUCUGUCCCCAGGACGGAGCCCAGGACACAAGCCCAGUGUCACCCCUCGCAACAUUCUAGCCACACUUUUGCAAAGGAGGAGGAUACGGGGUCUUUGGUAAAUAUAGUGGCCCAUUUCCUUGACUGUGCAGGGAGAAGAUAUCCACCCUGACAGACACUCUAGGAAUCAAGUUUUAGCCUGGGGAGGAGGUACACGGAACCUCUGGACUCUUUCUAGAGCACCUGUCAUGGAGGUGUAGUAGCCCUUGGAGACCUGUGAUCUUGGGUUCCUUGUCGAGAGGAAGGAAACUGAGGACGACACGGGGCAGGUGGCAUUCUCCUGGUUCAGUGUACUGGCUCAACACCGGCUCUGUCUCCUGGGUGGCAUUCUCCUGGUUCAGUGUACUGGCUCAACACCGGCUCUGUCUCCUGGGUGGCAUUCUCCUGGUUCAGUGUACUGGCUCAACACCGGCUCUGUCUCCUGGGUGGCAUUCUCCUGGUUCAGUGUACUGGCUCAACACCGGCUCUGUCUUCUGGGUGGCAUUCUCCUGGUUCAGUGUACUGACUCAACACCGGCUCUGUCUUCUGGGUGGCAUUCUCCUGGUUCAGUGUACUGGCUCAACACCGGCUCUGUCUUCUGGGAUCACAGCCCCUGUGGUAUGAAUGGCUAAGCCGGAAUUUUGACGAAGGGGCUCACCAAGUUGUCCAGACUGGCCUCAGACUUGGGAUCUUGUUUCUGCCUUCCUUACACUGGGAUUUUCAGGAGUGAAGCCACAGAGACCAUCAAUCAAUCACCCUCAGUAGUCUGAAGACUUCCCUUGGACUUUCAGGGACCGCGACACUGGUGUAUGUGAUUCCACUCUGAAGACGACCAGCUGGCCAGAGACAACACUGGCCGCCACACGGCUCUCCGAUCUACCCCACUCAGGGACACACCGUGCAUCUCCAAGGCCUGGCCUGGAAGAUCCAUAGUGAAAGCCAAUGCAGGACCCUAGUGCGUCUCUUCUCGGCCACCUCCCAUCUGACAAGCCUCCUUGGUCCUUUUGGGGUUUCACAACCACAGCCCAUUGGGGGAGUCCCCGUGAGGCCUUUUGGAGCGUUCCCUCAUCUCGGGUUUGUGUGACAGUUCUCGGAGAACGCGAUUCUGCACAUCAGUUUGCCAUGUCGACCCAGCUUAUUGCUGGUUGGUUGAGUCCCCAAUACAGAACCCAGGGACAGAGUAGACUGAUGACUGAUGCCGUUUCAUCGCACAUGUCAGUUCCUGCAGGACAAAAGCCAAAUAGAAGGAGGGUGAUGGUGACUGCUCCCAAACCAUGAAUGCUGAGCCAUCGGAGACAAGGAAACGCAGCCUCUCAGCUCUUCGUGCUGCCUGGGUACAGAGUGAACCAGGAUGACCCAAGAGGGCCCCACACAGAUCUGUGAAGGACAUGGAGCCUUGAAGGUAUAGUGAAGGUACUCCAGCCAGACUCUUCCAGAUGAGGAGGGAUCCCAGUCCGUAGCAGGCCCUCUCCGAGGUUGAAUCCCUUUGUAAAUUUGGAGGUAACAAUUCUAGUGUGGGGCGGAGAGAGACAGGCAGGGCGUGGUCAUCAGAAUAAAUUAACUCCCCCAUAGGGGAGAGGGGCAGUAUGGGCUACAGCCUGUACAUGGGGAAGGAGGAGGGUCUUCCAGCCAGGGGGUGCUGUUGUUACUGUGGGUGUCAAGGAGUCUCCCAGUUCCAGGGAAGCCCCUGGCAGCAGAGGCUGCCUGCCUGCAGUGAGCUCUGAAUUGGGGAAUACUCUGCCUUGGACUGAGAAGCCCCUGCAAGUGAUUACAAUCAUGCUGAGGCAGGAGGAUGGCCAACUCACGGCCAUCACGUCUGAAGGCUGUGUGGGGACACAGGGACAGUCGUGCUUGAGCAGAGACCUAGGAAGACUCUCUAGGAAGUGGGACCAGAGGCAGGCAUCCUAACAGAUUUCCACUCAGGUCCCCACAGGCAUACACACAAAGCCAGCCUGUGUGAUGCUUCUCUGCUGCCAAUGCCCAGAGCUCCCUUCCCGGCCCGCCCUGCUGCCUGGUCUGGGCUGGUGCCAGCUCUGCACUGGGUCACUAGGGAAGCCUGUUUGGCAGCACACCUAAUUGUAGCCUGGGCAGAAAGGCCAGGCAGCCACGAGACACUUGGGUGGUGGCCCUUCCAGGAUAGGAGGUGGCUUAUGCAGCUGCCCAAGGCCACUCAACCUUUCAAGUCUUUUAUCUGAGGCUGUUUGGGGGACAUCAGCCUUGGGGAAUUAUGUCCAAGAGGUGGCAGGGUGGCAUGGCUGGAGAGGUGGCUAGCUGUUGAGCUUACGCUCACUAGGCGACAGGGACCAGCUGCUUCUGACUGCCAGGCUGCUGUCUUCCUUUCUUCCUCUGUAAAUCAGUAGUCCUAAUGAUGACCUUGACCUAGGGCCUCAGCAGCUCCGGAAAUGGUGAGACAAGCAGGGUCUCAGACUCUGUUCCAGACCUAAGAAGUUUCAGGAUGGACCCACAACCUGGGUCUACCAUGCCUUCUCUGCACAGAGUCGUGGGUCUCUUCCUAGGCUCAUGCUGAUGCACUGAGCUCACACUGCAGAAGAAAGUCUCUUGCUAAGAGACAGAGAACGCCAUGGACAAGGAGGCAUGCCAAUAGUAGCACAAACUGACCCCUGGGUGACCCUUCCUGUCCCUUGACACCCAGCCCAAAUGAGCACUGUAGACGAACCUCCGGGCAGUCUCUCUGGGAACUGAUCAGAUCCUCUCUGCCGGGACCCAUGAGCCUUGGUGGAUGGUGCAUCUGGUUUGUGGGUCAGUCUCUCCUGUCUUGGUGAGGAACCCAAGGACAGGACGUGGGUUUGAAUUCUCCCUGUCCCCAGAUUCCUCUCCUCCCCUGCCACAUGCACCGUCCCUCUGAGAAGUCUCCAGGAGACUAUGAUACUCUGGUUCUGGUCUCGGUUUUUGUUGACAAAGGAUGCAAGUUGAGAGCAUGUGGACCCUGUCCUGAGUACCUGACACAUGGACACAUCUGCUUCUCUCUCUCUCUCUCUCUCUCUGGAGGACUGAAGACAAUCUCACAGAGAGGGUGCACAGCCUGGAGACACACUGAGAAGGCAGAGGCUGGCAGCCAGGAUGCGGCCACCCGCAGCCCGAGCUGCCCACCAGGGCCUCCAGGGGAGGAGCCAGGAGCCUGGGGCUGUCAGCAGGAAAACAGUCGCUCACCCCCAAGCAGCCUCUGAUUGGUGGAGGUGAACCACUUGACAAGGUGUUUGGCCAACCAGGAAGCUGCCAUACAAUCAGUUCCCUCUGCGUUCUGGUCUUUCUGCUGCUUCUGGCCUGAUGAGCUGGACCAAAGAGAAAGAGAAAUGGUAGGAAGAACGGGUGGGCCCAGGGGUGUGCCCACAACCUCUCCUCUCUCCAGCUCUUCUCAGCCUCUCCCACCUAAUCUGGAGAGCAUGUCAGUGCAGCGGGGACAGUGGCUAACCUGUGCGUUGUCCCAUGUUGGUUUCAUGGCUGGACUCUGGCCAAAGGCAGGAAUGUUCAAGAGCUGUAGAGGCCUGGGCUAGCGGGGCUUGGACCUGGAUGGGGUCACUGGAUGACUCAGGGGUGAAGAUCAAAUGGAUGAAGAUGUCUGCCCCUGGGGGUCUCCUACCUCUCAGCAGCUGCCAGGCCCAGUUCCUCCAAAUUAGCAGUAGAGAAGAGACUAGCCUUGGUAGAUCCUUGGACCACCACAUCUGGAAUGCAUCUCCAAACACACCUAAGUAAAAGAUUCCCAGGUACGGCUUCUCUGACUACAGGAUUUUAGAACGGACUUGGGAGCUGUCCACAGAGUGGCUAAUAACAUUCACAUGGCCUGGAUGUCAUAUGCCAUCUGUGACUACCAUCUUGCCUCACAAGACAGGGCAUUUUAGUAGGGAAAAAAAUGGAGAGAUACACUCUCAGAAUAAAUGAUAAUUCCUAAUGUAUUUUACGUUUUAGUGCAUUUUAUGCCCCUGUAAUACAAUACCACAAGCCAGGCAGUUUAUAAUGAGCCUACAGUAUUUGUUGGCUUGUGUUCUUGGAGUCUGGGCAAUCUAAGAUGGAAUGGGCAGUGGCCAGUAAUGCCCUUCCUGUCAUACCACCCAUGACAGAAGGACAGAGAGAGCGCGGUGGGGCUAAGUCCAUCUAUCCUUACGGAACCUUAACACAGCCUUAGCCCGCUCCUGGAGGGUAGAGCCCUUGUUGCUGAACCACUCUGUAAAGGCCCCACCUCCUAAUACCACCAAAGAUCAAGCUUCCAACAUACGAACUUUGAAGGGCAUGUUCAAACCAAGCAUAAUUUGAAAAAAAUAAAUAAAUGAAAAUUCCAUAGUACAGAAUGAAAAACUCAGUCUUUUGGCCUUGAUUUUGUUCGUUCACAACAAAAUCACGAACACUAACAAGGCUCAAGGCUAAUUAGAAACCCAAGGCUGAUACUAGUCACACAAUCCCAGGGCUUGGGAGGCAGAGGCAGGUGCAUCUCUGUGAGUUCAAGGCCAGCCUGGUCUACAGUGUGAGUUCCAGGACAGCAGGACAACAUAGUGAGACCCUGUUCUGAAAAACGAACCAACAGACCACCAACAACCAAAACAGGAACCCAAGGCUAAUCCAAUUUUGGCACGCACUCAAAGAGGAGAGUCAUCAAGGUAACCCAGCACGGUAACACCAGGACCUGGAGAAGCGGCGCUCUUAUGUCAAGCCUGUUGAGUCCAGCUCGGUUGUUCGAACAUCUUCACUGGGUUCUCCCACAGGGGACAGCUGAUCUUGCUAACUUUCCCUGUCCCUUGGUAGCUGGUUUCCAACCUUUCUCAUCUCUCCAAGUCUGGACCUCACAGCUGUCCCAGCAGGCUGGAGCAGAGGCAGGAGGAGCCACAGCCUGAGGCCAGCUUGGGCCCUAAAAGUGAAGGGGGGGGGGGAGAAGAGAAGCGAGGAGAGGAGAGGUUCAAGAAGGAGGCACAGCGUUACUAAAAUUACUAAGGAAAUAGGAAGCUAGACCCUGGGGAGGUUGCUCCGUCAGCAAAGUGCCCUCUAUGCACAUAAGAACCUCAAUCUAGAUCCCCAGAACCCAAGGAAAACAAACAGCAAACACCAGGCCUGGCCGCGUGCUUGCAAUCCCAUGCUAGCAAGGCAGAGAUGGCGGAUCCCCACAGUUCCCUGGCUAGCCCGUCCAAUCCAACUGGUGAGCUUCAAGUUCAGCGAGAGAUUCUGUCUCAAACAAUGAGGUGGAGAAUUAACAAGAUAGACACUCCAACACCAACUUUUACCGGAACUGGCUUUGCGGCGAUCAGUGGAGUGAAUGGUCAUAACAGCAUAACGUAGGGUAACUUGACAGUAUCUUUGUGAAUAAAAUGUAUGUAUAAAGUCA